rnacentral:misc_RNA from 1 species
UUUCCGUAGGUGAACCUGCGGAAGGAUCAUUAAAAAAUAUCACAUUUGUUUGUGAUUUAAUAAUCAUCCUACCCUUUGUGAAUUUGUUUUUGUUUGAAAUUUAUGUUGUCUAUCCCUGGAUUAUGAAGAAAAGUUGUAAAAGACUUUUUUUCAUUCUAGGGAUAGGCUUUCAUAGACAUUUUUUUAAAUUAAACUUUUUGUAUUCAUUUGUCUAAAAUUUAUUUUUAAAUAAUUUAAAAACAACUCUUGACAAUGGAUCUCUUGGUUCUCGCAACGAUGAAGAACGCAGCAAAAUGCGAUAAGUAAUGUGAAUUGCAGAAUACGUGAAUCAUCAAAUUUUCGAACGCAUAUUGCACUUUUUUAGUUUACUGAAAAAGUAUGUCUGUUUGAGUAUCAGUAAAAUAUUCUCAUAAAAACUAUUGUUUUUAUGGUUAUGAGUGUUUUACAACGAUAACAAGUUGUUUCACUUUAAAUUGAUUUUUUAAUAAGCCAAUUUGGUUUUAUUUUUAAAAUUGGAUAAAAUUUUCCCGUAAAAAGGAAUAAACUUUUCAGUUUUAAAGUUAAAACUUAAAUUGACCUACAAAAAAGGAAAUUUAAUUAUAAAACUAACUUGAUCUCAAAUCAGAUAAGAGUACCCGCUGAACUUAAGCAUAUCAAUAAGCGGAGGAAAAGAAACUAACAAGGAUUCCCUUAGUAACGGCGAGUGAAGCGGGAAGAGCUCAUAUUUGAAAUCUUCAAGGUUCUACCUUGACGAAUUGUAGUUUAAAGAAGUGUUUUCUGUUAGUGGAGUGGCAAAAGUUCUUUGGAAUAGGACAUCAUAGAGGGUGAGAAUCCCGUAUUUGGUCAUUCCUUCUAGCUUUGUGAUACACUUUCAAAGAGUCGGAUUGUUUGGGAAUGCAGUCCAAAAUGGGUGGUAAAUUUCAUCUAAAGCUAAAUAUUGGCGAGAGACCGAUAGCGAACAAGUACCGUGAGGGAAAGAUGAAAAGAACUUUGAAAAGAGAGUUAAACAGUACGUGAAAUUGUCAAAAGGGAAGCGUUUGACACCAGUGUUGUUUUUCCGAAAAUCAAUUAUAAAUGUUUUGUUUCUGAGGAGUGAUGACUUCAUCGGCUUCCUUCUCUCUUCACGAAACUUUUGUAAUGCACUUUUCGGUUAACAAGUCAACAUCAAUUUCUUUUGUUGUAAAGGAGUAUUCGGAAGGUGGCUUUCUUUUCGGAGAAAGUGUUUACAGCCCUAUACUUCUACAAUCGGAGAGAUUGAGGUCUGCAGCGUAGAUCCUUCGGGGUUAGAUACACUUGUGCUAAGUUAUAGCUUUUCAUAGACAACUUGUUGACUAUGUUUAGUCUUGUAGCUUACUCGCUUGUGCUAUUUUACCUACGCUUAGGAUGUUG